GGGCAUUCAGACCUCUAUGGGGCCGGCGGUUCUAUGGGGAUCAGACUCAUGGGGUCGGCGUUCUAUGGGAUCAGACUCUAUGGGGCCGGGUUCUAUGGGAUCAGACUCUAUGGGGCCGGGUUCUAUGGGAUCAGACUCUAUGGGGCCGGGUUCUAUGGGAUCAGACUCUAUGGGGCCGGGUUCUAUGGGAUCAGACUCUAUGGGGCCGGGUUCUAUGGAUCGAGACUCUAUUGGGGCCGGGUUCUAUGGGAUCAGAACUCAACUAUGGGGCCGGUUCGAUGGGACAGACUCUAUGGGAGGCCGGGUUCUAUGGAUCGGAUCUUAUGGGCCUGGUCUGUCUAUGGGAUCAGACUCUAUUGGGGCUGGGCUCUAUGGGAUCAGACUCUAUGGGGCCGGGUUCUAUGGGAUCAGACUUCUUAUGGGGCCGGGUUCUAUGGAUUGCAGACUCUAUUGGGGCCAGUUCAUAUGCAGGCGGGUUUCUAUGGCAUCAGACU
rnacentral:lncRNA from 1 species